GGCACCGUUACCAGCCAAGUUCCCCUCCGCCUCGCCUGACCACUCCGCCCGCUCUUCCUCUCCCUUUUCCCAAAUCCCCGGCGCCGCCGCCCGCCGUCCACACCAAGCACCACCCGUCCGCCACCGCCACCGCCUCCCUCUGCCUCUCAACCCGCACGGGCCACCUCCCCCAGCGCCCCGUCCCCCUCGCCGUCUCCUCCGGCGAACGGGGUCGGCCCCGCGGCGCCGACGCGGGGCGAUGUGUACCUGGGGCGGCAGCUCGUGGCCGCGGCCGCGAUGGGUGGCCGCACGUGUGCGCCGGAGGAGGACGCUGAGAGGCGCCGCCGCCGCAAGGAGAAGCGGAGGGCCCUGGCCAAGAAGACGCCCUCCGGCGUCGGCUGCGGCGCCCCGCUGCACACCGGCGAGGAGGGGUCCCCCGGCCACGUCGAGCCCGCCACCUACGACCUGAAGAAGAGGCACAACCAACUGAAGACCGUGCUAUGCGGGCGGUGCAAGCUACUGUCGCACGGAAGGUGUUUGACAAAAUGACCAAGUAAGAAAUCUUGGAUUCAUAAAUGGGAGAAGCACAUAAGGGAGAAGAAGAUGAUUGCAAGGAUGGAGAGGGAGCAAAUCAUUUGGAGGGAUAGAAUGCCACAGUUUGGCGUUUUUAUGCAUUUUUGUUUGCUUUCAACUGUGUUUGCACUAGCUGGGACUAUAGAUUGGUGCUUGUGGGUAACUAGUAGUGUUGAUUACAUCUUGUAGUUGAUUACUAUAAGGUUUAUUUGGUGGAAGAUUAUAUGUUCAGAUCCAAUAUGCUAUUUAAUACCCCUUUGAUC